rnacentral:tRNA from 1 species
UUAAUUGAAGCCAAAUAGAGGCAUAUCACUGUUAAUGAUAUAAUUGAAUUUUUAUUCCAAUUAAA